UAAAUAUAUAUUUUUUUAUUUUUUGAUAUUGCAUAUCGCUUAAAGAAAAUUUUAUUAUUAAUAAAAUAUAAAAUUAAAAGGUAGAAAAAUUUAUUUUUUUUAUUGUUUCAUAAUAAAAAUUAUAAUUUUUAGGGUUGAAAAGUCGACUUUUAGGUUAUUUGUUUUUUUAUUUUAAUUAGAAAUUUAUUAGGUUAUUAAUUUAGUUUUGUAAAAAGUAAAAGUUAAAGUAUUUUUAUUUUUAGUUUUAUAACUGUUUAUUUUAGUUAUUAUUUUUAAAGUUUAUUUAUUUAUAAUAAAAUUUUAUUGUAUUAAUUAUUUUAGGAUUAGUAAAAAGUUAAAUUUAAUGUUAAUUUAUUAAUAUAAUUAAAAAACUCAAAAAUUAAUCAAAUGUUUUUUAAAGACUUAGACUUUUUUAUAAAGUUAGCUUCUGCCCGGUGAUAAUAAUUAAAUGGCAGUCUUAGCGUGAGGACAUUAAGGUAGCAAAAUAAUUUGUGCUUUUAUUGAGUUCCAGUAUGAAUGAAGUUAUUGGUUAAUUUAUUUUUUAAUUUUAUUUUGAAGUUUUAUUUAGUAUAAAAAAGUAUUAUUGUAAUAAAACAAAGAUAAGUCUUCGGAAAUUCUUUUUAAAAAGUAAUUUUUAUUACUUUUUAAAAUUUUCUAGGGUAGAAUUUUAAAUAAUAGUUAUAUCUAUUAAUAAUUUAAUGAAUUACUUCGGAGUUAACAGAAAAUCAUAUCUAAUCUAGUUCGUAUUGUAAGAUAAGUUUUACAUCGAUGUUGUAUUUAAGUUUAUUAAAAAAGGAGAAAAUUUAAUUUUUAAGACUGUUCUUCUUUUAAUUAAUUUAACGUGAUAUUAGUUUAAUUCAUUGUAAGAUAGAAUUGUUUAUCUUGUUUAUUACUUUUUGUUAAUUUUAAUAGUACGAAAGGAAAAUAAAAAAGGUUUUAAACUUUACAAGGUUUGUCCUUA
rnacentral:rRNA from 1 species